rnacentral:rRNA from 1 species
GAGGCUUCUGAGUGCUUAUUGCACCACAUGUGUUUUUCUUUGAAACAAACUUGCUUUGGCGGUGGGCCCAGCCUGCCGCCAGAGGUCUAAACUUACAACCAAUUUUUUAUCAACUUGUCACACCAGAUUAUUACUUAAUAGUCAAAACUUUCAACAACGGAUCUCUUGGUUCUCGCAUCGAUGAAGAACGCAGCGAAAUGCGAUACGUAAUAUGAAUUGCAGAUAUUCGUGAAUCAUCGAAUCUUUGAACGCACAUUGCGCCCUCUGGUAUUCCGGAGGGCAUGCCUGUUUGAGCGUCGUUUCUCCCUCAAACCGCUGGGUUUGGUGUUGAGCAAUACGACUUGGGUUUGCUUGAAAGACGGUAGUGGUAAGGCGGGAUCGCUUUGACAAUGGCUUAGGUCUAACCAAAAACAUUGCUUGCGGCGGUAACGUCUACCACGUAUAUCUUCAAACUUUGACCUCAAAUCAGGUAGGACUACCCGCUGAACUUAAGCAUAUCAAAAGCGGAGGAA